rnacentral:lncRNA from 1 species
GUGAAAGAAGAUGUGCUGAUGUCCCCUGCCUCUGUGUGGCUCGUGAGGUUGCUGAAGGAGGGACAGUUGUUUUUCUGCCUAAGACAUCCUGCGUUUCUUGGAACUGCUGUGCAAAUGCAGAGCUAUUCUAUGACCUUGUUAAAGUCCAGAGUGUUGUAUUUUUUCACAAGAAGUCAGGUAAAUGCGGGUGAAAGAGGGAGUAAAGAGGAGCAAAAUGGAGGGUAAAGAGGGAGCAGAUGCUAAUGGCAAGAGAAAACUCAGAUGAAUAUUUACUUAUUCCACAGAAAGCAUCUUUAGUCCUCAUGGAGCUGAUGCUUUCUGAGGUAAUCUCUUCCAUUGUAAGUGGCUGUAAUUUGCAUUCUUUGUUCCCAGAGGCGUUCUCUUGCAUUUGGUUGCAUCAGAACUUAUUUCUUCAUGCAGCAGUCAUGUAAGUAGGCAGUGUAGUUUGGGGUUGACCAGCUUGUGGCUGAACAAAAUUGCCUCUGUGUCACAUCGUCUGCUUCAUCCAGGUAUGGAUCCGUGCUUGGUCACAGAUCGAGGGGCCGUCAAUUGCAGGUGGAUUUUAAGCACUGGGACUUUGUAGGCCAGGGUGGUUUAAAUGCACAGGGCAUGAGUCCUGCCUGUUGUAUCUGCUGAUCUCAUUGACCCUCCUCUGUAACCUGCUUUGUCCUCAUUACAUGAAUUCGUUUUCUGCUGCCUGUAAAAGUUCCCAGCCGAGAGCAUCGCUUCAGCAAAUGCAUGGGGCUUAGCCUCAGACUCCCUCAGGAAGGGAAGGACGUGCAUCCUGCCUGUCCUGUGCAUACGGGGUUCCUCUCCAUGGACUCUUUCCAAGAUGUUGGUCUCCAGAAUGCUCCUGGCUCUGCUCUUCUUGGAAGCAAUGAUGAGACAUCUGUCAGUGUGAGCCCGCAGAGGGAAGCUGAGGUCUGCUCAUGGCUCUAGGAUCCAGUAACUCUUCCUGUAAGAACGUGUGGCUUGGAUGUGAAGAGAUGCUAUCGAUCAGACAAUGGAGGUUGCAGAUGAAGGAGAAAAGGUUGGAAUUAAGCCGACAGCACUCAGCUGCUGUAAGGGGACUGACUUUGUUUGAUGGGCUCUGUCAUCCUCAGGAGGAAACUUUCCUCUACAAAAUGGUGAAAUGGUGCCCACGUGGAAACAUUCUGACUGUGCAUGUGCCUGGAGCCCGGCGUUGUUGCAGAGGAGGAGAGUGGCGUAGGAUGGCUCCAAAGAAAAGAGGGCUGCGUCAGGAAGAAAACCUCCUGCCAUGUCAGCUUGCCCAGACCUUUCUGUGA